UGGGGAAUCUUGCACAAUGGGAGCAACCCUGAUGCAGCGACGCCGCGUGAGCGAUGAAGCCCUUCGGGGCGUAAAGCUCUUUCGACCGGAACGAUAAUGACGGUACCGGGAGAAGAAGCUGCGGCUAACUACGUGCCAGCAGCCGCGGUAAUACGUAGGGGGCAAGCGUUGUCCGGAUUUACUGGGUGUAAAGGGUGCUCAGGCGGAUUUGUAAGUCAGAGGUGAAAUCUUACAGCUUAACUGUGAAACUGCCUUUGACACUGCAAGCCUAGAGUAUGGAAGAGAGUGAUGGAAUAUCUGGUGUAGCAGUGAAAUGCGUAGAUAUCAGAUAGAACACCAAUGGCGAAGGCAGUCACUUGGUCCAUUACUGACGCUAAAGCACGAAAGCGUGGGUAGCAAACA
rnacentral:rRNA from 1 species